rnacentral:rRNA from 1 species
AAAUGCGUAGAGAUCGGGAAGUACAUCGGUGGCGUAAGCGCUCUACUGGACGGCAACUGACACUCAGGGACGAAAGCUAGGGGACCGAAUGGGAUUAGAUACCCCAGUAGUCCUAGCUGUAAACGAUGGAUACUAGGUGUAGCUUGUAUCGACCCGAGCUGUGCCGAAGCUAACGCGUUAAGUAUCCCGCCUGGGGAGUACGCACGCAAGUGUGAAACUCAAAGGAAUUGACGGGGGCCCGCACAAGCGGUGGAGUAUGUGGUUUAAUUCGAUGCAACGCGAAGAACCUUACCAGGGCUUGACAUGUCCGGAAUCCCGCUGAAAGCUGGGAGUGCCUUCGGGAGCCGGAACACAGCUGGUGCAUGGCCGUCGUCAGAUCGUGAUCGUGAGAUGUUGGGUUAAGUCCCUGCAUACGAGCGCAACCCUCCUCUUUACUUGCCAGCAAUUAAUUUGGGCACUCUAGAGAGACUGCCGGUGACAAACCGGAGGAAGCUGGGGAUGACGUCAAGUCAGCAUGCCCAGUACUCUGUGGCGGAUACACGUACUACAAUGGUCGGGACAGAGGUCAGAGACGCUGCGAUGGCUAGCUAAUCCCAGCUAAUACGGCAUCAGUUCAGAUCUCAGACUGCAACUAGCCUGCAUGAAGGAGUAUCGAUACUAAUCGCCGGUCAGAAUAAGCCGCGAAUCCGUUCCCGGGCCUCGUACACACCGCCAGUC